rnacentral:lncRNA from 1 species
AACAAUAUCCUCUACAACAAUCGCUCUAACAAACUCAAAAGAUGUAGAGUCUGAGGAAGAAAACCAUGCCCCUACUACUGCUGAACAUCAAGCUAACCUGUCUGGUGAUAUAAAUGAUAAUGAUUCUGAAGAAGAAGGACAUGCCCCCACCAAUGCUGAAAAUCAAGAAAGCUUGUCUGAUGACUCAAAGGCCUCAGAGUCUGAAGAAGAAGAAGUAUCUAAUUCUCCCAUAACUGAACCUCCAAGAAGAAGGAAGAGCCACAGAUUGAUACCUCAAUUUGCCUCAAAAAGGAGAAAUGAUUAAUCUAAUGCAGUCAUUGAAUUAAGUGAUGAUGAAUCUGAACAACAGGAAGAGAAUGCUGAAGAUAGGACUAGCAUUGAAGAAGAUGACUCCAAGGAAGACAUUGCUGAAGAGGGUUUUGAAAAUAAAGAUAAACAAGAAGAAUUCACUGAUGAAUCUGAUGAAGGGAAUCAACAAGAUUCAAGCCCAAAAAGGGAAGAAAUAGAGAAUGACUCCGAUUCUGCUUAUUAGGAAUUAGAACACUAUCAUGAUCUCUCUCUAGCCAGAAUUAGCAGAAGAAUUGUAGUGGAAGUCUUUGAUGAACCACCAACUGAACCAACAGCCAGAUGGAUAAAUCAUGGAAAUGAGCAACUUCGAGUUGUAAGAAUGACCGCAGAUGAAGUGCUUCACAACUGGAAAAAUAUGAAAUUAGACUGCACAAUAAUACUGUAUAACUCUGAAGAUCUUCUAAUGAGAUGGUUCUUUCCAUGGAUGCCUUGGUUAAAGGCACAUACUGAUGGAGAUGAAAGCUACUUUAGCUGGUGCUACUCUCAGUUUCCAAAUCUAGAGCUGGUAUCAUAAAACUUCCCAAGGGUAAAGAAGUUUGCAACCAUGAUGAUAAAUGACAAGCCCCACUACAAG